AUACCAAAUCACAAUAUUUCUCUGGUGUUUCCCAAGGUCUUGGUGUCUUAAUGAGGCAUUUUGAAGUGAACCUUUUUUAUCCAUUUUCAGCUGGUCGAAAAUGGUUACAUUUGUCAUGUCCAUCGUAUACUUAUAUCAUAAUAUGCUAAAGUUUUAUACACUCUAAACUUGAAUUGGUGACUGGACAAUGUUUAUUACAUAUUUAUGAAUAAGAAUUAAUCUUCAGGUUCCCAACUUUUACAUUAUAUAUACCAUUUCUGUGUGGAAUACUGUUGACCUGCUAUCUCUACCUAAAAAAAAAACCUAAAAUGUUCAGUUAUUCAACUAUAUAGAGGGGUGGAGUUGAAUGUUAAAGAACUGAGCUGGCCAAGCCAAACAUCUCCAAAGGUCCUGAAAUUGAGUCGUGACAUUAUUGUCUCAAUUCAGCAUUGUCCUCCUUCAGCGUGGACCUGUUUCUGCAUUCAGUCAUAACGUUUAUGACAGAGAGUGAGAGAGAGACUGACAACACUCAUAGACAAGAGAGGGGCAUGUAAAGUAUGGACUGAAGAGAGCCAACGACUACCACGUUCACCAUGCCACUGCACAUGCAACAAAAGUCCUGUCCUGGGAUCCUGAUCUGCAAUAACUCAUUCCACCGAACCUGGCGGGAUCCUCAAUGUUCACAUACUGCUCCCUUGCCUCAACAACUACAGGAAGACAUCACCGAGGGAACAUCUUGACAGCUUGUUUAUCUAUUAAGGUCACUUUUAUGCCGAUGAACUGUGGGAGGAAGUCAGGGCAACCCUGGUAAUUCUAUUCAAGCACAUUCAUUUCAUUACUCUCAAACAUCCAGCUGAGCUGUAAGUAUCAUACUGAGGACUGAUGUAUUUUUAUUUUAUUUAUUUAAAAUUAUUAAUUAUAUUAUUAUAUUAAAACACUGUCACAUUUCAUGGCAAAACCUUAGUUUUUGUGUGCCAUUUCAAGGGAAUUUAUACAGAAUAAAGUAGUAUUUUAUAUUAGAUACUGUUAAUUGUACAGUAUAACACUAAUAUUUCAUGCUAAAACCUUUAUUUUAUGGUUAUUCAUAUGGUACUUUUAUGUCAUAUAUUGCAAAACAGUGUUUCUUUUGAUGGAAAAAAACUUGUUUUACACGGUAAAAUGUGGAAUAAAGUGCCGACAUUACUGUAAUAGUAGAAAAAGUUCCACUGUAUUUAUUACAGUGAAAUUCUGGCAACCACAGCUGCCAGUUUUUUACCGUUGAAACAACUAUUAUUUCCCCUAAAGUAUACGGUGAAACACAGUCAUAUUUAAUGGAAAACCUUUAUUUAUAU
rnacentral:lncRNA from 15 species